rnacentral:rRNA from 1 species
GAGAUGCUGACGAGUGGCGAACGGGUGAGUAAUACAUCGGAACGUGCCCGAUCGUGGGGGAUAACGAAGCGAAAGCUUUGCUAAUACCGCAUAAGAUCUACGGAUGAAAGCAGGGGACCGCAAGGCCUUGCGCGAACGGAGCGGCCGAUGGCAGAUUAGGUAGUUGGUGGGAUAAAAGCUUACCAAGCCGACGAUCUGUAGCUGGUCUGAGAGGACGACCAGCCACACUGGGACUGAGACACGGCCCAGACUCCUACGGGAGGCAGCAGUGGGGAAUUUUGGACAAUGGGCGAAAGCCUGAUCCAGCCAUGCCGCGUGCAGGAUGAAGGCCUUCGGGUUGUAAACUGCUUUUGUACGGAACGAAAAGACUCUGGUUAAUACCUGGGGUCCAUGACGGUACCGUAAGAAUAAGCACCGGCUAACUACGUGCCAGCAGCCGCGGUAAUACGUAGGGUGCAAGCGUUAAUCGGAAUUACUGGGCGUAAAGCGUGCGCAGGCGGUUAUAUAAGACAGAUGUGAAAUCCCCGGGCUCAACCUGGGAACUGCAUUUGUGACUGUAU